rnacentral:lncRNA from 1 species
GGAAAGGCUGCUAUGAUAUUUCUGCUGCUUUUAUGCAUGUAAAGCCACAGCAGUCAGGAAAGAGCUGCUCUCGUACACAGCAGAAUGACAAAUUCACGGAUCACUUCAAGCAUAAUGUGAUGUGAGCCAAUUGCAUUGUUAAACUACUACAAAGACAGCUAUUCAGAGGUGUUUCUACAUACAUGCAAAGGACGCAUUGACUGCAUAGGAAGAGUGAAGCAUACUCUUGUGGUUAAGAGUGAAUUUUCAGAGCCCCUGGGAUUGACUGCUCAGGUACUAUAAUUCUCUGUGUAUACCCAGAAUGGGACAAUCAAU